CCUACGGGAGGCAGCAGUGAGGAAUAUUGGUCAAUGGACGAGAGCCUGAACCAGCCAAGUAGCGUGAAGGAUGACUGCCCUAUGGGUUGUAAACUUCUUUUAUAUGGGAAUAAAACAGGGUAUGCAUACCCUCUUGUAUGUACCAUAUGAAUAAGGAUCGGCUAACUCCGUGCCAGCAGCCGCGGUAAUACGGAGGAUCCGAGCGUUAUCCGGAUUUAUUGGGUUUCAAGGGAGCGUAGGUGGAUUGUUAAGUCAGGUGUGAAAGUUUGCGGCUCAACCGUAAAAUUGCAGUUGAAACUGGCAGUCUUGAGUGCAGGAGAGGUAGGCGGAAUUCGUGGUGUAGCGGUGAAAUGCUUAGAUAUCACGAAGAACUCCGAUUGCGAAGGCAGCUCACUGGACUGCAACUGACACUGAUGCUCGAAAGUGUGGGUAUCAAACAGGAUUAGAUACCCCAGUAGUC
rnacentral:rRNA from 1 species